AUGGUGAAGCAGAUCGAGGGCAAGGAAGAUUUUCAGACAGCCUUGAACAGUGCUGGAGAUAAACUCGUUGUAGUUGAUGUCUCAGCCACGUGGUGUGGGCCUUGCAAAAUGAUCAAGCCUUUCUAUCAUUCCCUCUCUGAAAAAUAUGGCAAUGUGGUGUUCCUUGAAGUUGAUGUGGAUGACUGUCAGGAUGUUGCUUCAGAGUAUGAAGUCAAAUGCACGCCCACAUUUCAGUUUUAUAAAAAGGGAUUAAAGGUGGGUGAAUUUUCUGGUGCUAAUAAGGAAAAACUUGAAGCCACCAUUAAUGAAUUAAGCUAAUCACGUUUUCUGAAAACAUAACCAGCCAUCAGCUGUUUAAAACUUAACUUUUUUUAUUUACAAAAAAGAAAGAUCAAGUAUGAAGACUAUA